UACGAAGGGGGCGAGCGUUGUUCGGAUUUACUGGGCGUAAAGGGCGCGUAGGCGCCUUGUAAGUCUGACGUGAAAUCCCCGGGCUCAACCUGGGAAUUGCGUUGGAGACUGCAAGGCUGGAGUCUGGCAGAGGGGGGUAGAAUUCCACGUGUAGCAGUGAAAUGCGUAGAGAUGUGGAGGAACACCGAUGGCGAAGGCAGCCCCCUGGGUCAAGACUGACGCUCA
rnacentral:rRNA from 1 species